GAACUGCGAUAAGUAAUGUGAAUUGCAGAUUUCAGUGAAUCAUCGAGUCUUUGAACGCACAUUGCGCCCCCUGGCAUUCCGGGGGGCAUGCCUGUCCGAGCGUCAUUGCUGCCCUUCAAGCCCGGCUUGUGUGUUGGGUCGUCGUCCCCUCCGGGGGACGGGCCCGAAAGGCAGCGGCGGCACCGCGUCCGGUCCUCGAGCGUAUGGGGCUUUGUCACCCGCUCGAUAAGGACCGGCCGGGCGCCAGCCGGCGUCUCCAACCUUUUUUUCUCAGGUUGACCUCGGAUCAGGUAGGGAUACCCGCUGAACUUAAGC
rnacentral:misc_RNA from 1 species